UAUUGGACAAUGGGCGAAAGCCUGAUUCAGCCAUGCCCCGUGUGUGAAGAAGGUAUUCGGAUUGUAAAGCACCUUUAGCUGGGAGGAAAGGCAGCAAGUUAAUACCUUGCCGCUUUGACGCUACCGACAGAAUAAGCACCGGCUAACUCCGUGCCAGCAGCAGCGGUAAUACGAAGGGUGCAAGCGUUAAUCGGAAUUACUGGGCGUAAAGCGCGCGUAGGUGGUUUGAUAAGUUGGAUGUGAAAGCCCCGGGCUCAACCUGGGAAUUGCAUCCAAAACUGUCUGACUAGAGUAUGGCAGAGGGUGGUGGAAUUUCCUGUGUAGCGGUGAAAUGCGUAGAUAUAGGAAGGAACACCAGUGGCGAAGGCGACCACCUGGGCUAAUACUGACACUGAGGUGCGAAAGCGUGGGGAGCAAACAGG
rnacentral:rRNA from 1 species